rnacentral:snRNA from 1 species
GGAUGUGAGGGAGAUCUGGCUGAGACAUCUGUCACCCCAUUGAUCGCCAGGGUUGAUUCGGCUGAUCUGGCUGGCUAGGCGGGUGUCCUUUUCCUCCCUCAGCGCUCCAUAUGCGUCUCUCCUGGAGCUGCGCGCUCUGUGGAAGAGGACGACCACCCCGAUAGAGGAGGACCGCUCCUCGGUCAAGAGUAUACGAGUAGCUGCGCUCCGCUGCUAGAACCUGCAAACGAGUUCUCUAAAGCUAGAUCUUGUUUGGUAGCUUUCACACACACACCUGAAUUGCAUGAUUUAGCACUGU